AUGCCCUGUGUGCUUCAUGUCAUCAACAGUUGUGAGUUCCCUGGAACUACCAACCAGGUCAAAACUGCAGCCCUUCGCCCAACUAAAUCAAUCACCGAGCACAAGCUAAUUGGUGUGGAUUCACUGCACACACCGUGGACUCCAGCGAGGAGCACAACUUGUAGAAUGUUCAACGUGCAAGGUACACUGUAUGUUAUGCAGUUAUCAGGGGAAUUGCAAGACUUGGAAACAGUGGAACCUACAGGGAGUGCACCUCUCACUGUGAUUUAUAGUGUUCCUGGAGUUCAAACGGCACGGCUGAAUCCAACUGUAUUCAAGUGGUCAGAUCUUUUUUGUUUUGCCACACAAUUUCUUAGUGCAAGCACUCUUGAUUUAUUACUAGCGAAGCGAGAUGCACCUACUAUGAUUGGGAAUUUGUGCUGUGAGAUUCAGAGCAGGGGAAUAAUAAUAGAGAGACCAUAUUGGCAAUUGAUUGCGGAAGUAAGUUUGGAAGCACUCAAGCUUUCAUGGCUGCCACCUCAAGGUAUUAUUUGUGUACCACUCAGAAUUUCUCUGCUGAAGAAAUCAAUUGGCAUAUCUCGACAAUUCUAUUGGGAGGGUACAAAUUCUUUUGCAGUAGUGUGGGCACUGACUUUGCAAGUGUACGAGCAUAAGAACAGAUGCAGUUUACUAGAACAUGAUACAUCAGUGGUGCUCCUUAUUGCUCAUGGUACUACUAUCGUUCAGUGCAUCCUUGUGCAUCAGGAGAGGUCCAUUGGAAGUUUGAAGAUUGAUAUGUCAACUAGAGAUAUAAUUGCAGCAUUACAUAGGAAGAAGCCAAGGCCUUGUUGGACGACAUUUUUCUAUGGCCACCAGUUACACUAUUCUGACCAGUCAGAUUCAGUUACAAAUGUUUUUCAGAACCAGCACAGAACUGAAUAUUCUAUUGGAAGAGUCAUUCUUGAGGAUUUCCAGUGGGCACCUGCUUGGUCCUUUUCCAUGGAGUUUUUGCUAUUUGGAGAUGAAUGUUCGUUUGAAGCUCUGUUGGGCUUCCACAUCUAUAGUGCGUGUUUGUUGGAUAAAAGCAUGGGGAUCACUCUAGGGAGCGAUGCAAGCUGCGGUGAAUGCAUAAUAAUCAGUCCUUGCCGUCCCCAAUUUCAACCCGAACCAUGUGAAGGUACUUGUUUCUAUAGCUUUCGUGUUGUAGUUUUUUCACGAGUUGUUCCUGCGAUGAGGCUUGCAUACUUUGAGAGGCCUGGAAUGGGGCUAUAUCAGGAAUAUAUGCAGCUGAUUGGUAUGAUUGGGAGGCAGGUUCCUGCUCUUGAUUUGUGGGCUACCAGAAUUGUGUUCCAGCCAAGGGAAACAGAGGGCGUGCAGCCUAGCGCAUAUUCCUUCUGUUUGGAAAUUUCCUUUCAACACCGCCCAUGUUUCCAACGAACAAGUUUCCAGUUCAGGAGGUGUGCUACUCUGAACCUCUCAACCACAAGCUUGGUAAUGGCAGUGGCCUUUCCACCGGUAUUUGAAGAGGGACAGACAAGUGCCAUGCUCUGUAUGGACCAGAUGAUGAUGAAAACUGGGCAUGUUAUUCAAUGUGGUCUGGAGUAUGUCCAAUGGGAGAUUGCACGGUCACUUAACUUGAAGUACAUGGAUAUCAUCAAACAGUCCAAGCAACAAAUUCUUGCCGCAACAUACCCUGAGUUAUAUUUUUCAUGGGAUCCAGGCAAUGUCGUAGCACAAAAUAUCCUGCUUCCAACCAGACCAUGGGCUCUGGCAUCAGCCAAUCGACAUGUUGCUAGGAUCUCCUCUUAUGUGCCUGUUCUUGGGGGAGAAUUCUUUGCUCCAUGGAAUAAUGGUAGCUGCAACAGGGGGAGCUGUCAUUGCAGAGUGCUAGUCUAUCUUCACAUGGACGAGUUCAGUUGCCUAAGAAUACAGUAUCCUAACGGCAAAAGGCUCAUCGGGGAAGAGUGUUCCUAUGAAAGAUUUCCUGGCCAAUGGUUCUGGAGCACUCUACUAUUGACAAGACACCUAAUUCCUGUAGAAACACUGAGGUCCUUCGCACAAGCUAAAGCUACAGCAGGGAUGAAGGUUGAAGCUCCAACCUUCUAUUGCGUCUGCUACCUUGGCCAAGACCCCGACGGCCACAACUACUACAUCGUCCUCAUUCAAGUGCAUCCCGUCAUUCGACUACGGCUACCACGACGAGCCCAUUACCACCAGCAAAAUUCAAGUGCCAUGGGAUCCUGGUGGUUCAACAUGGCGUCGGCUUGA
rnacentral:rRNA from 1 species